CCUAGGGGGUCGACCGCGAUUACCCCGUGAGGCCUCGGCUGAAACAUCGCGUCCAUGUCCUCUUCAGAGGCGGACGCCGCCAUG
rnacentral:ncRNA from 1 species